rnacentral:lncRNA from 1 species
CUUCCUUGUGUAGAUAUUCUAUUAGAUGUGUUUUUAUAACCCAAUCUUAGAUAAGAAUAAGAAAAGAAACUUGUGCAAUUUUUCAUAACUGUUUAUGUCAGGCAUAAGACAGUAUUUUGUUCUGCUCCAUUUCUCUGUCUGCCAGGUCACAAGGCUGACAGAAGUUGUGAAAUCCAGUUUCUUAUGUUCUAUAAUAUGGGAUGUAAUGGAUAAAAGCAGGUAUUAAGUAUUUCAAUGCAGAGUUUUAGCACUUCAAUAGAUAAAAUGCUACCCGAGCAACAUUAACUAUUUGAUUAGAAUGUGGCCCUUCUUGUAAACUUUCCUGCAUGUUUGCCAAAAACAAAAUAAUUGAUAGAUGGAGAAUAGGGAAAUUCAUUUCAUAAACUUACAUACUAAAAUUUGACUAAAGUGUGGUCCUUCUUUCAAACUCUCCAGCAUGUUAACCGCAUGCAGUCUUCGGCAGCUAGGUGUUUACCAGUAGUAGUGAACGAGUGAUAUGAAUUUGGGGAUUCCCGAAUUGUACAAGGCUAGGGUAGGGUUACAUUGUAUUUAUAUUGACAAGUGCUUCUGCUUUCAUUUUAAAUAUUAUUUCUUGUAAAAUAAUUGCAAUUAAAAGGAUUUGUAUUGGUAAAAUCCACAAAAGCAAAUAAUAUUAUUAUAUCGUGAAACAGCAAAAAAGCUUGUAUCAAGUCAAAAUAACAGACGGGGAGACUUGGCCCUCGUUUGUGCUAAGCCACACUUGCCAAAAUGUGUUUCACUUAUUCAUUGUCUAAUCCAUCAUUAAUUGUAAGCUUCCUUGUGUAGAUAUUCUAUUAGAUGUGUUUUUAUAACCCAAUCUUAGAUAAGAAUAAGAAAAGAAACUUGUGCAAUUUUUCAUAACUGUUUAUGUCAGGCAUAAGACAGUAUUUUGUUCUGCUCCAUUUCUCUGUCUGCCAGGUCACAAGGCUGACAGAAGUUGUGAAAUCCAGUUUCUUAUGUUCUAUAAUAUGGGAUGUAAUGGAUAAAAGCAGGUAUUAAGUAUUUCAAUGCAGAGUUUUAGCACUUCAAUAGAUAAAAUGCUACCCGAGCAACAUUAACUAUUUGAUUAGAAUGUGGCCCUUCUUGUAAACUUUCCUGCAUGUUUGCCAAAAACAAAAUAAUUGAUAGAUGGAGAAUA